AGGGCGCACGGCGAAUGCCUUGGCUCUCAGAGGCGACGAAGGACGUGACAAGCUGCGAUAAGCUUCGGGUAGGUGCAAAUAACCUUUUAUCCGAAGAUUUCCGAAUGGGGCAACCCGGCUGGUUGAAGGCCAGUCAUCCCGCUUAUGUGGGAAGCUAACCCGGUGAACUGAAACAUCUAAGUAACCGGAGGAAGAGAAAACAAUAGUGAUUCCCUAAGUAGUGGCGAGCGAACGGGGAACAGCCUAAACCAAAGUUGUUACGGCAAUUUUGGGGUUGUAGGACUGCAAUGUGGAAUAUAGAUUAAUAGUAGAACACUUCUGGAAAGUUGGACCAUAGAAGGUGAAAGUCCUGUAGACGAAAUUAAUUUAUUACCUAGCAGUAUCCUGAGUAGCGCGGGACCGGAGAAAUCCUGUGGGAAUCUGCCAGCACCAUCUGGUAAGGCUAAAUACUCCUGAGAGACCGAUAGUGAACAAGUACCGUGAGGGAAAGGUGAAAAGUACUUCGAACAGAAGAGUGAAAUAGAUCCUGAAACCGUGCGCUUACAAGCGGUCGGAGGCCAACUUAGCAGCUUGCUGCUAAUAGUAGCUGACGGCGUGCCUUUUGCAUAAUGAGCCUACGAGUUACUCCUCGUUAGCAAGGUUAAUUACCAUGAGGUAAGGAGCCGAAGCGAAAGCAAGUCUGAACAGGGCGUUCAGUUAGCGGGGGUAGACGCGAAACUUGGUGAUCUACCCAUGGGCAGGUUGAAGUUCCGGUAACACGGAAUGGAGGACCGAACCAGUACACGUUGAAAAGUGUUUGGAUGACCUGUGGGUAGGGGUGAAAGGCUAAUCAAACUGAGAGAUAGCUCGUACUCCCCGAAAUGCAUUUAGGUGCAGCCUCGAGUAUAAGUGUCAUAGAGGUAGAGCUACUGAUUGGGCUAGGGGGCUUCACCGCCUACCAAACCCUGACAAACUCCGAAUGCUAUGACAUGUUCCUCGGGAGUGAGGCGUUGGGUGCUAAGGUCCAAUGCCGAGAGGGAAAGAACCCGGACUAUCAGCUAAGGUCCCUAAAUAUACGCUAAGUUGUUCUAACGAGGUCUGAUUGCUUUGACAGCUAGGAUGUUGGCUUGGAAGCAGCCAUUCAUUUAAAGAGUGCGUAACAGCUCACUAGUCGAGCGAUCAGGCAUGGAUGAUAAUCGGGCAUAAGCGUAUUACCGAAGCUAUAGAUUCUCACACUAUGUGUGGGACUGGUAGGGGAGCAUUCCAGUUGCGUCGAAUGCGUAUCGUAAGGUAUGCUGGAGCGGCUGGAAAAGCAAAUGUAGGCAUAAGUAACGAUAAUGCGGGCGAGAAACCCGCACACCGUAAGACUAAGGUUUCCUGAUCAACGCUAAUCGGAUCAGGGUUAGUCGGGACCUAAGGCGAACCCGAAGGGGGUAGUCGAUGGACAACUGGUCAAUAUUCCAGUACUGGCAAUAACUGCUAUGGGGUGACGAAGGAGUGAAAGAUCCGCGUACUGACGGAAUAGUACGUUGAAAUGCGUAGGUAUACGAAUUGGUUAAGAGCUAAUUUGUGCUGAAACAUGAUAGUACCGUAAGUCUUCGGACGAGCGGAUAGUGAUCCUAAUCCGACUUCCAAGAAAAACCUCUACGCUUCAGGUUAUUGCUACCCGUACCGUAAACCGACACAGGUAGUCGAGGAGAGUAUCCAAAGGUGCUCGAGUGAUUCAUGGCUAAGGAACUAGGCAAAUUAACCCUGUAACUUCGGGAGAAAGGGUGCCAUCAGAAAUGGUGGCCGCAGAGAAAUGGCCCAGGCGACUGUUUAUCAAAAACACAUGGCUUUGCUAAAUUUAAUGAUGACGUAUAAGGCCUGACACCUGCCCGGUGCCGGAAGGUUAAGUGGAGAUGUUAUUACACUUCGGUGUAAGAAGCUUUGAAAUGAAGCCCCGGUAAACGGCGGCCGUAACUAUAACGGUCCUAAGGUAGCGAAAUUCCUUGUCGGGUAAGUUCCGACCUGCACGAAUGGUGUAACGAUCUGGGCACUGUCUCAGCCAUGAG
rnacentral:rRNA from 1 species